GGGUUGUGAGGUUAAGUGACUAAGCGUACACGGUGGAUGCCUAGGCAGUCAGAGGCGAUGAAGGGCGUGCUAAUCUGCGAAAAGCGUCGGUAAGGUGAUAUGAACCGUUACAACCGGCGAUACCCGAAUGGGGAAACCCAGUGUGUUUCGACACACUAUCAUGUCAUGAAUACAUAGUGGCAUGAGGCGAACCGGGGGAACUGAAACAUCUAAGUACCCCGAGGAAAAGAAAUCAACCGAGAUUCCCCCAGUAGCGGCGAGCGAACGGGGAGGAGCCCAGAACCUGAAUCGGCUUGUGUGUUAGUGGAAGCGUCUGGAAAGUCGCGCAGCAAAGGGUGAUAGCCCCGUACACUAAAAUGCACAGGUCGUGAGUUCGAUGAGUAGGGCGGGACACGUGACAUCCUGUCUGAAUAUGGGGGGACCAUCCUCCAAGGCUAAAUACUCCUGACUGACCGAUAGUGAACCAGUACCGUGAGGGAAAGGCGAAAAGAACCCCGGCGAGGGGAGUGAAAUAGAACCUGAAACCGUGUACGUACAAGCAGUGGGAGCACCUUCGUGGUGUGACUGCGUACCUUUUGUAUAAUGGGUCAGCGACUUAUAUUUUGUAGCAAGGUUAACCGUAUAGGGGAGCCGUAGGGAAACCGAGUCUUAACUGGGCGAAUAGUUGCAAGGUAUAGACCCGAAACCCGGUGAUCUAGCCAUGGGCAGGUUGAAGGUUGGGUAACACUAACUGGAGGACCGAACCGACUAAUGUUGAAAAAUUAGCGGAUGACUUGUGGCUGGGGGUGAAAGGCCAAUCAAACCGGGAGAUAGCUGGUUCUCCCCGAAAGCUAUUUAGGUAGCGCCUCGUGAACUCAUCUUCGGGGGUAGAGCACUGUUUCGGCUAGGGGGCCAUCCCGGCUUACCAAACCGAUGCAAACUCCGAAUACCGAAGAAUGUUAUCACGGGAGACACACGGCGGGUGCUAACGUCCGUCGUGAAGAGGGAAACAACCCAGACCGCCAGCUAAGGUCCCAAAGUCAUGGUUAAGUGGGAAACGAUGUGGGAAGGCAUAGACAGCCAGGAUGUUGGCUUAGAAGCAGCCAUCAUUUAAAGAAAGCGUAAUAGCUCACUGGUCGAGUCGGCCUGCGCGGAAGAUGUAACGGGGCUAAACCAUGCACCGAAGCUGCGGCAGCGACGCUUAGGCGUUGUUGGGUAGGGGAGCGUUCUGUAAGCCGUUGAAGGUGGCCUGUGAGGGUUGCUGGAGGUAUCAGAAGUGCGAAUGCUGACAUAAGUAACGAUAAAGCGGGUGAAAAGCCCGCUCGCCGGAAGACCAAGGGUUCCUGUCCAACGUUAAUCGGGGCAGGGUGAGUCGACCCCUAAGGCGAGGCUGAAAAGCGUAGUCGAUGGGAAACAGGUUAAUAUUCCUGUACUUGGUGUUACUGCGAAGGGGGGACGGAGAAGGCUAGGCUAGCCGGGCGACGGUUGUCCCGGUUUAAGCGUGUAGGGGGUGUGACCUGGUAAAUCCGGUUACAUAUCAACCCUGAGGCGUGAUGACGAUGCACUACGGUGCAGAAGUAGUUGAUGCCCUGCUUCCAGGAAAAGCCUCUAAGCUCCAGGUAACAUUGAAUCGUACCCCAAACCGACACAGGUGGUCAGGUAGAGAAUACCAAGGCGCUUGAGAGAACUCGGGUGAAGGAACUAGGCAAAAUGGUGCCGUAACUUCGGGAGAAGGCACGCUGGCAUGUAGGUGAAGUCCCUUGCGGAUGGAGCUGAAGCCAGUCGAAGAUACCAGCUGGCUGCAACUGUUUAAUAAAAACACAGCACUGUGCAAACACGAAAGUGGACGUAUACGGUGUGACGCCUGCCCGGUGCUGGAAGGUUAAUUGAUGGGGUCAGCCGCAAGGCGAAGCUCUUGAUCGAAGCCCCAGUAAACGGCGGCCGUAACUAUAACGGUCCUAAGGUAGCGAAAUUCCUUGUCGGGUAAGUUCCGACCUGCACGAAUGGCGUAAUGAUGGCCAGGCUGUCUCCACCCGAGACUCAGUGAAAUUGAACUCGCUGUGAAGAUGCAGUGUACCCGCGGCAAGACGGAAAGACCCCGUGAACCUUUACUAUAGCUUGACACUGAACAUUGAGCCUUGAUGUGUAGGAUAGGUGGGAGGCUUUGAAGCGUGGACGCCAGUCUGCGUGGAGCCAUCCUUGAAAUACCACCCUUUAAUGUUUGAUGUUCUAACUCGGCCCCGUGAUCCGGGGUGAGGACAGUGUCUGGUGGGUAGUUUGACUGGGGCGGUCUCCUCCCAAAGAGUAACGGAGGAGCACGAAGGUUAGCUAAUCACGGUCGGACAUCGUGAGGUUAGUGCAAAGGCAUAAGCUAGCUUGACUGCGAGAGUGACGGCUCGAGCAGGUACGAAAGUAGGUCUUAGUGAUCCGGUGGUUCUGAAUGGAAGGGCCAUCGCUCAACGGAUAAAAGGUACUCCGGGGAUAACAGGCUGAUACCGCCCAAGAGUUCAUAUCGACGGCGGUGUUUGGCACCUCGAUGUCGGCUCAUCACAUCCUGGGGCUGAAGUAGGUCCCAAGGGUAUGGCUGUUCGCCAUUUAAAGUGGUACGCGAGCUGGGUUUAGAACGUCGUGAGACAGUUCGGUCCCUAUCUGCCGUGGGCGUUGGAAGAUUGAGAGGGGUUGCUCCUAGUACGAGAGGACCGGAGUGAACGCACCACUGGUGUUCGGGUUGUCAUGCCAAUGGCAUUGCCCGGUAGCUAAGUGCGGAAAAGAUAAGCGCUGAAAGCAUCUAAGCGCGAAACUUGCCUCAAGAUGAGUCUUCCUGGGCCUUCAAGGCCCCUGAAGGAACGUUUAAGACUAAGACGUUGAUAGGCUGGGUGUGUAAGUGCAGCGAUGCAUUGAGCUAACCAGUACUAAUGAUCCGUGAGGCUUAACCUUACAACACCGAAGGUGUUU
rnacentral:rRNA from 1 species